CAACACUUGGCAGACUUAAAAACAGGAAAAGACACUGCACUUAAUCUUAAGGAUCGAAGGAUGAAGCUGUCCAUGGGGUUAGAGGGAAUCAAUACAGCUCUAAACUGCAACGAUCUGCAGAGGUCAAACUGGAUGAAGUGUUGGUCCGCUUUACCUCAGAUCGCAGCUGUCUGAAGAGUGCGCGUGUGUCUUUGCCUAUAGCGUCUGCUGAGUCAAGAGGGGAAAGGUUUUGGAAGAAAAGGAGCUGUAAAACAGCAACAUAUGAC